CUUCGAGUUCAGCUGGGGAGAAGGAGCAACCUCAUUAUCAUUACCCUUAUCAGAGCAUGCAGCGUCCUCCAUUGCCACCGAAUGGGCAGUUUCAUCAGCCGCAUUAUCCGCCGCCUCCAUAUGGAUAUAUGCUACCGCCUCAGCAGCAAUACCAACACCAUUAUGGACCUCCAAGGCCUGCAGCUCCGGAGUCAAGUUCAGCACCGCCAGCUCCCCAGUGAAAUUGGUGAAAAGUAGGAUGUGUCUCUUUGCCAGUCUUGUCGGCAUUUUAUCGAUGAAUAGUUGCCUUGUCAUUUCAUUGCUCUAAGAACCUGUCAAGUUGCGUUACUACGCCGCACUGUUUAUGGCUGGCCUUCACUUAAUUAGUUAUAAUUACUCUUGUGGGCGUGUUACUUAAAAACUCUUUCAGAAGUGCCAUGGGCGAAGAUUAAACCUAAAAUAUGGCCACAAAUUAAUGAUAAGGCUACCGGCACUGCGACGACUACGAUUGAGAAAUCGGGAAUCAAGAUCGUUAGAAACCCUCCCGAAUCCAAAC
rnacentral:lncRNA from 1 species